rnacentral:rRNA from 1 species
UACGUAGGGUGCAAGCGUUGUCCGGAAUUAUUGGGCGUAAAGAGCUCGUAGGCGGCUUGUCGCGUCGUCCGUGAAAACCUGCAGCUCAACUGCAGGCUUGCGGUCGAUACGGGCAGGCUAGAGUUCGGUAGGGGAGACGUGGAAUUCCUGGAUGUAGCGGUGAAAUGACGCAGACGUAAUCAGGAGGAACACCGGUGGCGAAGGCGGGGUCUCUGGGCCGAUACUGACGCUGAGGAGCGAAAAGCGUGGGGGGAGCGAAACAGGAUUAGAACUAC